ensembl:misc_RNA Gm26037 predicted gene, 26037
GGAUGUGAAGGCUCUGUGACUACAAUGUCUGUCACCUCAUUGAUGGACAGGGUCAGUUUGUCUAUCUGGCCAUCUAGGUGGGUGUCUCCCUGUUCCUUGCACACUGUGUGUGUUUUCUUCCCCAGACAGCAUCCUUGAUUGAAGAGAAAAUCUUCCUCCAUAUUAGAAGACCCUUCUUGGACAAAGACUUACCAAUAACUGUCACUCCUGCUGCAAACUCUAGGAACAAGCUCCCAAGGUGCCAUUUCUAUUGAGCAUGCACCAUGUUUAUUCUAGAAUAGACCUGAAUGCUUUGAUUUGAGCUGUUGCAG